GACGAACGCUGGCGGCGUGCCUAAUACAUGCAAGUAGAACGCUGAAGAGAGGAGCUUGCUCUUCUUGGAUGAGUUGCGAACGGGUGAGUAACGCGUAGGUAACCUGCCUUGUAGCGGGGGAUAACUAUUGGAAACGAUAGCUAAUACCGCAUAACAAUGGAUGACACAUGUCAUUUAUUUGAAAGGGGCAAUUGCUCCACUACAAGAUGGACCUGCGUUGUAUUAGCUAGUAGGUGAGGUAAUGGCUCACCUAGGCGACGAUACAUAGCCGACCUGAGAGGGUGAUCGGCCACACUGGGACUGAGACACGGCCCAGACUCCUACGGGAGGCAGCAGUAGGGAAUCUUCGGCAAUGGGGGCAACCCUGACCGAGCAACGCCGCGUGAGUGAAGAAGGUUUUCGGAUCGUAAAGCUCUGUUGUAAGUCAAGAACGGGUGUGAGAGUGGAAAGUUCACACUGUGACGGUAGCUUACCAGAAAGGGACGGCUAACUACGUGCCAGCAGCCGCGGUAAUACGUAGGUCCCGAGCGUUGUCCGGAUUUAUUGGGCGUAAAGCGAGCGCAGCGGUUUGAUAAGUCUGAAGUUAAAGGCUGUGGCUCAACCAUAGUUCGCUUUGGAAACUGUCAAACUUGAGUGCAGAAGGGGAGAGUGGAAUUCCAUGUGUAGCGGUGAAAUGCGUAGAUAUAUGGAGGAACACCGGUGGCGAAAGCGGCUCUCUGGUCUGUAACUGACGCUGAGGCUCGAAAGCGUGGGGAGCGAACAGGAUUAGAUACCCUGGUAGUCCACGCCGUAAACGAUGAGUGCUAGGUGUUGGAUCCUUUCCGGGAUUCAGUGCCGCAGCUAACGCAUUAAGCACUCCGCCUGGGGAGUACGACCGCAAGGUUGAAACUCAAAGGAAUUGACGGGGGCCCGCACAAGCGGUGGAGCAUGUGGUUUAAUUCGAAGCAACGCGAAGAACCUUACCAGGUCUUGACAUCCCGAUGCUAUUUCUAGAGAUAGAAAGUUACUUCGGUACAUCGGUGACAGGUGGUGCAUGGUUGUCGUCAGCUCGUGUCGUGAGAUGUUGGGUUAAGUCCCGCAACGAGCGCAACCCCUAUUGUUAGUUGCCAUCAUUCAGUUGGGCACUCUAGCGAGACUGCCGGUAAUAAACCGGAGGAAGGUGGGGAUGACGUCAAAUCAUCAUGCCCCUUAUGACCUGGGCUACACACGUGCUACAAUGGUUGGUACAACGAGUUGCGAGUCGGUGACGGCGAGCUAAUCUCUUAAAGCCAAUCUCAGUUCGGAUUGUAGGCUGCAACUCGCCUACAUGAAGUCGGAAUCGCUAGUAAUCGCGGAUCAGCACGCCGCGGUGAAUACGUUCCCGGGCCU
rnacentral:rRNA from 1 species